GGAAAGCUACGAGAUUCCACACUUUCAUCUGAAUUUUUACUUCAGAAAGGGUUGAUGACGUAUGCGAGUGCGACCUCCGCAGGCUGAAACCAGUCUCUCGAGCUGAAAGAAAACGCAGCUGAGGAGAUAUGAGGAAACUUCCACCUACAGUAAGCAGAUGCUGAGGCCCAGAUUUCCAUGCUAAGCACUCCAAGGCUCAUCAUGCUCGGAGAGUCCAAUCUGAGGGCAAAAAAUGGAUGCUUUCCAUCGAGGGCAGAGUUCUCCUCCAAUUGAGUGACGGUUGUGAUUUCACUUCUGCUCUAGCCUUUUUGCGUCAUA